GUUAAAUACUACAUGGCUCUUGAA
rnacentral:sRNA from 1 species